rnacentral:rRNA from 1 species
GAUGAACGCUGGCGGUGUGCCUUAAGCAUGCAAGUCGAACGGGUUAGUCGCAAGACUAGCCAGUGGCAGACGGGUGAGUAACGCGUAGGAAUCUACCUUGAAAUGGGGAAUAGCCAGCCCGAAAGGUUGGGUAAUACCGCAUGACAUCGUAAGAUCAAAGGCCUUCACCGGCCGUUUCAAGAGGAUCCUGCGUCCUAUCAGCUAGUUGGUGAGAUAACAGCCCACCAAGGCGAUGACGGGUAGGGGGU